UAGUGGGGGACAACAUUCCGAAAGGAAUGCUAAUACCGCAUACGUCCUACGGGAGAAAGCAGGGGAUCUUCGGACCUUGCGCUAAUAGAUGAGCCUAAGUCGGAUUAGCUAGUUGGUGGGGUAAAGGCCUACCAAGGCGACGAUCUGUAGCGGGUCUGAGAGGAUGAUCCGCCACACUGGGACUGAGACACGGCCCAGACUCCUACGGGAGGCAGCAGUGGGGAAUAUUGGACAAUGGGGGGAACCCUGAUCCAGCCAUGCCGCGUGUGUGAAGAAGGCCUUAUGGUUGUAAAGCACUUUAAGCGAGGAGGAGUCUACUGAGACUAAUACUCUUGGAUAGU
rnacentral:rRNA from 1 species